GGGGGUGACUGGUUUCGACGGUUAAGUUGAAGCGGUAGUUGCGUGUCGAGGUUGGCCUCCAGGCCUCGUUAAAAGGAGCCCAAAACAUUAAAUGCUGACGAAAGUUACGCACUCGCUGCUUAAAUAAAAGCGCGACGUCUUUACUCUGACGCCUGUUAGGGGCUAAAGGCGACGACAACAGGCUGGUGUCAAUAUCGGGAAUCCGGGUGGCGAUGCGAGAAACUAACAGGAUCCUAGCGUCCAAAGUGGCCCUGUCAUACGGCAGCUGCGGGGGCGAAUAUUUGUAGUAUGACUACACACGUAGGCGCUAUCGUGACUCUUAGUCGGACGGGGGUUCGAUUCCCCCCACCUCCACUC
rnacentral:tmRNA from 1 species